rnacentral:rRNA from 1 species
GUUGGGUGUUUCGACUACGGGAAGAGCGCAUUUGUUAGAACAAAAUCAAGUGACUUCGGUCGUUCACUGUUGACUCAGAAUAACUAAGCUGAUCGCAUGGUCCUGUACCGGCGACGUGUCUUUCAAGUAUCUGCUUUAUCAACUUUCGAUGGUAGUGUAUCUGACUACCAUGGUGGUGACGGAUAACGGAGGAUAAGGGUUCGACUCCGGAGAAGGGGCCUGAGAAAUGGCCACUACGUCUAAGGAUGGCAGCAGGCGCGCAAAUUACCCACUCUCGGAUUGAGGAGGUAGUGACGAGAAAUAACAAAGCUGUUCUCAAUGAGGCCAGCUAUUGGAAUGGGUACAAUUUAAACCCUUUAACGAGUAUCUAUGAGAGGGCAAGUCUGGUGCCAGCAGCCGCGGUAAUUCCAGCUCUCAAAAUGCAUAGAAUCAUUGCUGCGGUUAAAAAGCUCGUAGUUGGAUCUGUGCCAGCACUCCGGUCCAUUUUCGGAUGAGUACUGGUCAGUGUUGGCUUUUCUGUUCCUUUCUGCCAGUACCUCUAAACGGGUGCUGACCAGGAUGAACAAAGUUUACCUUGAACAAAGCAGAGUGCUCCAAACAGGCGUUUCGCUUGAAUGUUAUUGCAUGGAAUAAUAAAAGAGGAUUUCGGUUCUAUUUUAUUGGUUUUAUAGACUGAGAUAAUGGUUAACAGAGACAAACGGGGGCAUUCGUAUUGCUACGUGAGAGGUGAAAUUCUUGGACCGUAGCAGGACGAACUACAGCGAAAGCAUUUGUCAAGAAUGUCUUCAUUAAUCAAGAACGAAAGUCAGAGGUUCGAAGGCGAUCAGAUACCGCCCUAGUUCUGACCGUAAACGAUGCCAACUAGCGAUCCGUCGGCGGAAUUUUUGCCCUGAUGGGGAGCUUCCCGGAAACGAAAGUCUUCCGGUUCCGGGGGAAGUAUGGUUGCAAAGCUGAAACUUAAAGGAAUUGACGGAAGGGCACCACCAGGAGUGGAGCCUGCGGCUUAAUUUGACUCAACACGGGGAAACUCACCCGGCCCGGACACCGUAAGGAUUGACAGAUUGAUAGCUUUUUCAUGAUUCGGUGGAUGGUGGUGCAUGGCCGUUCUUAGUUCGUGGAGCGAUUUGUCUGGUUUAUUCCGAUAACGAGCGAGACUCUGGCCUACUAAAUAGUUGCCUAUUGUCAUUGUGGGUACAACUUCUUAGAGGGAUUUUCGGUGUUCAGCCGCACGAAAUUGAGCAAUAACAGGUCUGUGAUGCCCUUAGAUGUCCGGGGCUGCACGCGCGCUACACUGGCAAAAUCAACGUGCUUGUCCUUCCCCGAAGGGGGUUGGUAAACCCUUGAAAAUUUGCCGUGAUUGGAAUCGGAAAUUGCAAUUAUUUUCCGUGAACGAGGAAUUCCAAGUAAGUGCGAGUCAUCAACUCGCGUUGAUUACGUCCCUGCCCUUUGUACACACCGCCCGUCGCUGCCCGGGACUGAGCCAUUUCGAGAAACUUGGAGACUGCUGAUUCAGUGGCUUCGGUCACCCUUUCGGUGGAAAUCAAUUUAAUCGCAGUGGCUUGAACCGGGCAAAAGUCGCAAAAAGAGGGGGAACAAAAGAACGUA